GAUGAACGCUGGCGGCGUGCCUAAUACAUGCAAGUCGAGCGAACAGACGAGGAUUUUGCUCCUCGGACGUUAGCGGCGGACGGGUGAGUAACACGUGUAUAACCUACUUAUAAGACUGGUAUAACUUCGGAAAACCGGAGCUAAUCCCGGAUAAUAUAUUGAACCGCAUGGUUGAAUAGUAAAAUACGGUUGUGGUGUCACUUAUAGAUGGAUCCGCGCCGGUUUAGCUAGUUGGUAGGUUAACGGCUUACCAAGGCAACGAUGCGUAGCCGAACUGAGAGGGUGGUAGGCCACACUGGAGCUGAGACAGGGUCCAGACUCCUACGGGAGGCCGCAGUAGGCAAUGGUCCGCAAUAGGCGAGAGCUUUGCGGAGCGAGGCCGAGCGAGUGAUAGCGGUCUUCGGAUCGUAAAGCUCUGUUAUUAGUGAAAAACAACUGUGUACGUAACUAUACAGGUAUUGACGGUACCUAGUCAGAAAGCAACGGCUAACUACGUG
rnacentral:rRNA from 1 species